rnacentral:misc_RNA from 1 species
UCCUUCGUCGAACACCUGUCGUGCAGCCCCCCGCCCCCUCGUUUGGAUCACAACGCAGAGCAACGCUCCUCACCGCACCAGUCCGCACCGCCCGACGAGCAACACCACGGAAGACAUGACCACCCGCGCGCAGAUUGGCCACAGAAAUGCGCAGGCCGCCGCCAGAGAUUGCUAGAUCCGGCAAUGCCACCGCCAGCAGACGCCGGGGCCAGGGGUCGCGCCCGCCGCCGCUGUGGCCAGGGGGCGUGUGCCUCGCCCUCGCCGCGACGGGGAGGAGAGCGCACCCGCCGCUCUCACCGCGACAGAGAGGAGAGCGCGCCCGCCGACGCCGGGGCCAGAGGUCACGCCCGCCGCCGCUGUGACCAGGGGCCGCGUCCGCCCCGCCGG